rnacentral:tmRNA from 1 species
GGGGGUGCCUGGUAUUGACAGCGUAGAUCUUUGAAAGUAUAAGCAUGUCGUGCGUUGGAUAAUUAGCACGUAAAUCUGAAUAUUCAAAUCUCAAAUGGCAAUACACAGUAUGCCAUGGCUGCCUAAUCAGUGAUUAAGUAGUCAUUUGGGCCGUGUGGCAGGUUCGCCUGUUACCAAGCUGCACCGCCGACUAAAAACAAAAGAGGAUGCUGUUCAGGAAGGCUGUGACCUGAACUUAAGACGAUUCAGCUAAGGGAAGGAUUGGUUUGUUGCUGCCCGGUCCUGCCCCGACAACCAAUCAGCAAAUAAACAUGUAGAAAGCUUUUGAAGGAUAUGUUUGGACAGGAGUUCGAUUCUCCUCACCUCCACUU